rnacentral:rRNA from 1 species
ACGGGGGGAGCAAGCGUUGUUCGGAAUCACUGGGCGUAAAGGGCGUGUAGGCGGUCAGGUAAGUGGAAUGUGAAAUGCUCCGGCUCACCCGGAGUACUGCAUCCCAAACUGCCUGGCUUGAGUAUGGGAGAGGAUGAGGGAAUUCCUGGUGUAGCGGUGAAAUGCGUAGAUAUCAGGAGGAACACCGGUGGCGAAGGCGCUCAUCUGGCCCAAUACUGACGCUGAGGCGCGAAAGCGUGGGUAGCGAACAGGA